rnacentral:lncRNA from 1 species
GCCGCCGCCGCAGGAGCAUCAUGGGAGCAGCAUCCACCUGGGCCGUGGUGGUGAUGGUGGUGGUGGUGCUUCUUAGGCUGCGGCUGCCGCAGAGGCUUGCGCAUAUCGAACGCGUCCUCCCCAUCGGCGUAGUACUUAGCCUCGAUGUCGUGGAUCUGGUACCCGAGGGUUGAGGUGUAGAGGUUGAAGGCGGCGCGGUUGGAUCGGCGGACGUGGAGGGAUACGUACUCGGCGCCGAAGACCUGGUCCAUGGCGGCCUGCGCGGCGGACAUGAGCUUGGUGGCGAGCCCCAGCUUGCGGUGGGAGCGGAGGACGGCGAGGGAGGUGAUGUGGCCGUGGCAGGGCUCCGAGGGGUCCUCCUCCAUCUUGGCGAGCACGUAUCCGACGAUGCGGCCGCCAUAGUCCUCGGCAACGAAGAGGAGCUGCGGCCACGAGAGCAUGUGGUAGAGGUAGUACUUCAUCUGGUAGUUCUCCGGCAGGCACAUCAGGUUGCACGCCUGCAUCGCGAGCAGGUCGUCGAUGGUCGCCUGC